AUACUUACCUGGACGGGGUCAAUGGGUGAUCAAAAAGGCUCAUGGUUUAGGUUGGUGACCUCCAUUGCACUCAGGAGGGGUGCCCACCUAAGGUAGGUCUACUCAAGUAGUGAACCUGUGUCAUAAUUUGUGGUAGUGGGGGCCUGCGUUUGCGCAGCCCUUG